GCUGUUAAGGGUUCGUAGUUGAAUUCAGAGUUGGAAGAUUUGGAUACCUUGGUGUCCCUUCGUUCCUUCUCUGUCUAGACGGGACUGUGCCUUGCUGGGGCUGGCCUUAAUUGACCAGCGUCGGCUCUCGGCUGAGAGGUCGGGGUUACACGUGCGACGCACGUACAAAGGCCGCCCGUUGUUUCACUGUGAAGAAAACAGCGUGUUCAAAGCUGCCGCAUGUCGGCUGAAUGACAAGCAUGGAAUGACAAAGUAUCGACCAAUUGGUCUGAUGUUUUGUUGGUUUUUACGACUGUUUGGAUAACUCGUUCACUGAAGCACUGCUUGAUUUCAUACGUGAUUUCUUGCAUGCUUCGUGACACGGGAUUAAUGGGGGUUGUCGGGGGAAAACGUAUUUGAGCGUGAGAGGUGAAUUCUUAGACCGCUCGAGGACGAACUUAUGCGAAGGCAUUUUCCAAGUAUACCUUCAUCAUCAAGAACUAAAGUGUGGAGAUCGAAGAUGAUUAGAGACCAUUGUAGUCC
rnacentral:rRNA from 1 species